rnacentral:rRNA from 1 species
AGUGAACGCUGGCGGCAGGCCUAAUACAUGCAAGUCGAACGGCAGCACAGUGGAGCUUGCUCCAUGGGUGGCGAGUGGCGGACGGGUGAGGAAUACAUGGGAAUCUGCCCAGUCGUGGGGGAUAACGUAGGGAAACUUACGCUAAUACCGCAUGCGCCCUUCGGGGGAAAGCCGGGGACCUUCGGGCCUGGCGCGAUUGGAUGAGCCCAUGUUCGAUUAGCUAGUUGGCGGGGUAAAGGCCCACCAAGGCGACGAUCGAUAGCUGGUCUGAGAGGAUGAUCAGCCACACUGGGACUGAGACACGGCCCAGACUCCUACGGGAGGCAGCAGUAGGGAAUAUUGGACAAUGGGCGCAAGCCUGAUCCAGCCAUGCCGCGUGAGUGAAGAGGGCCCUCGGGUUGUAAAGCUCUUUUGUCCGGGAAGAAAAGCAUCGGGCUAAUACCUCGGUGUUCUGACGGUACCGGAAGAAUAAGCACCGGCUAACUUCGUG